UACGUAGGGCGCAAGCGUUAUCCGGAAUUAUUGGGCGUAAAGAGCUCGUAGGCGGUUUGUCGCGUCUGCCGUGAAAGUCCGGGGCUCAACUCCGGAUCUGCGGUGGGUACGGGCAGACUAGAGUGCGGUAGGGGAGACUGGAAUUCCUGGUGUAGCGGUGAAAUGCGCAGAUAUCGGGAAGAACACCCGUGGCGAAGGCGGUUCUCUGGGACGGUACUGACGCUGAGACGCGAAAGCGUGGGGAGCGAACAGG
rnacentral:rRNA from 1 species